UGGGACAGUGGCUGCGCCCUCU
rnacentral:miRNA from 1 species